rnacentral:rRNA from 1 species
CUCAUAGCGUAUAUUAAGUUGUUGCAGUUAGAACGCUCGUAGUCGGAUUUCGGGGCGGGCCGACCGGUCUGCCGAUGGGUAUGCACUGGCCGGCGCGUCCUUCCUCUCGGAGACCGUUCCUACUCUUAACUGAGCGGGAGCGGGAGACGGGACUUUUACUUUGAAAAAAUCAGAGUGUUUCAAGCAGGCAGCUCGCUCUUGCAUGGAUUAGCAUGGGAUAAUGAAAUAGGACUUUGGUGCUAUUUUGUUGGUUUCGAACACCGAAGUAAUGAUGAGAAGGGACAGUCAGGGGCACUCGUAUUCCGCCGAGAGAGGUGAAAUUCUCAGACCAGCGGAAGACGAACCACUGCGAAAGCAUUUGCCAGGGAUGUUUUCACUGAUCAAGAACGAAAGUUAGGGGAUCGAAGACGAUCAGAUACCGUCGUAGUCUUAACCAUAAACCAUGCCGACUAGGGAUCGGAGGAUGUUCACAUAUUGACUCCUUCGGCACCUUACGGGAAACUAAAGUCUUUGGGUUCCGGGGGGAGUAUGGUCGCAAGGCUGAAACUUAAAGGAAUUGACGGAAGGGCACCACCAGGUGUGGAGCCUGCGGCUUAAUUUGACUCAACACGGGGAAACUUACCAGGUCCAGACAUUGUGAGGAUUGACAGAUUGAGAGCUCUUUCUUGAUUCGAUGG